AACGCACAUUGCGCCCCUCGGUAUUCCGGGGGGCAUGCCUGUUCGAGCGUCAUUACACCACUCAAGCCUCGCUUGGUCUUGGGCGCCGCGGUCCGCCGCGCGCCCCAAUGUCUCCGGCUGAGCCGUCCGUCUCUAAGCGUUGUGAUAAACGAUCCGCUUGCGAGGCCGGGCUGGCUUGAUCGCCGUAAAACCCCCCAUUUUUCAGGUUGACCUCGGAUCAGGUAGGGAUACCCGCUGAACUUAA
rnacentral:misc_RNA from 1 species